UAGGGAAUCUUCGGCAAUGGACGAAAGUCUGACCGAGCAACGCCGCGUGAGUGAAGAAGGUUUUCGGAUCGUAAAACUCUGUUGUUAGAGAAGAACAAGGACGUUAGUAACUGAACGUCCCCUGACGGUAUCUAACCAGAAAGCCACGGCUAACUACGUGCCAGCAGCCGCGGUAAUACGUAGGUGGCAAGCGUUGUCCGGAUUUAUUGGGCGUAAAGCGAGCGCAGGCGGUUUCUUAAGUCUGAUGUGAAAGCCCCCGGCUCAACCGGGGGGGGUCAUUGGAAACUGGGAGACUUGAGUGCAGAAGAGGAGAGUGGAAUUCCAUGUGUAGCGGUGAAAUGCGUAGAUAUAUGGAGGAACACCAGUGGCGAAGGCGGCUCUCUGGUCUGUAGCUGACGCUGAGGCUCGAAAGCGUGGGGAGCAAACAGG
rnacentral:rRNA from 1 species